rnacentral:rRNA from 1 species
AGUGAACGCUGGCGGCAGGCCUAACACAUGCAAGUCGAACGGCAGCACGGCAGUAGCAAUACUGUGGGUGGCGAGUGGCGGACGGGUGAGGAAUACAUCGGGAUCUACCCUGUUGUGGGGGAUAACGUAGGGAAACUUACGCUAAUACCGCAUAAGAACUGAGGUUGAAAGCGGCGGACCGCAAGGCGUCGCGCGAUUGGAUGAACCGAUGUCCGAUUAGCUAGUUGGCGGGGUAAAGGCCCACCAAGGCGACGAUCGGUAGCUGGUCUGAGAGGACGACCAGCCACACUGGAACUGAGACACGGUCCAGACUCCUACGGGAGGCAGCAGUGGGGAAUAUUGGACAAUGGGCGCAAGCCUGAUCCAGCCAUGCCGCGUGGGUGAAGAAGGCCUGGUGUAAGCCUUGUCCGGAAGAAAAGACAUUCGGUUAAUACCGGUAGUUCUGACGGUACCGGAACGGAAUAAGACACCGGCUAAC